GUCUGCUUGAAGAUAUAAACAGUCUAGCCUGCCCACUGAUAAGUAAAAAUUUAAAGGGCCGCGGUAUCUUGACCGUGCAAAGGUAGCAUAAUCAUUAGUUUUUUAAUUGGAAUCUAGUAUGAAUGGUUGGACAAAAGAAAAUCUGUCUUUAUAAUAGUUAUUGAAAUUAACUUUUGAGUGAAAAGGCUUAAAUGAAUUGAAAAGACGAUAAGACCCUAUAAAGCUUGACAUUAAUUUGAUAUUAUAUUGAAUUUUUUUUUAUAAAAAUGUAAUGUUUAUUUUUUGUUUUAUUGGGGCGAUAGAGGUAGAAUGAUUAAUAACUGCUUAAAUUUUAUAACAUUAUAAAUGAAUAAGAGCUUUAAAAGAUCCUAGGAUAAAGAUUUAAAGGUUAAGUUACUUUAGGGAUAACAGCGUUAUUUUUUUUGAGAGUUCUUAUCGAAAAAAAAGUUUGCGACCUCGAUGUUGAAUUAAAAUUUCUUUAUAAUUGUAGCAGUUAUAAAAGAAGGUCUGUU
rnacentral:rRNA from 1 species